rnacentral:rRNA from 1 species
AAACUUAAAGGAAUUGACGGGGCCCGCACAAGCGGAGGAACAUGUGGUUAAUUCGAUGAUACGCGAGGAACCUUACCUGGGCUAGAACGCAGAAUGACAGAUGCCGAAAGGUGUUUCCCAGCAAUGGGCAUUUUGCGAGGUGCUGCAUGGUUGUCGUCAGCUCGUGCCGUGAGGUGUCGGGUUAAGUCCCAUAACGAGCGCAACCCCUAUUGUUAGUUGCCAGCAGGUAAUGCCGGGGAUCUCUAACGAAACUGCCGGUGUAAACCGGAGGAAGGUGGGGAUGACGUCAAAUCAGCACGGCCCUUAUGUCCAGGGCUACACACGUGUUACAAUGGCCGAUACAACGGGCAGCCACCUGGUGACAGGGAGCUAAUCCUAAAAGUCGGUCUCAGUUCGGAUCGAAGUCUGCAACCCGACUUCGUGAAGCUGGAUUCGCUAGUAAUCGCAGAUCAGCCAUGCUGCGGUGAAUACGUUCCCGGGCCUU